GAUGAACGCUGGCGGCGUGCUUAACACAUGCAAGUCGAACGAAGCAAUCUAACGGAAGUUUUCGGAUGGAAGCUGGAUUGACUGAGUGGCGAACGGGUGAGUAACGCGUGGGUAACCUGCCUCACACUGGGGGACAACAGUUAGAAAUGACUGCUAAUACCGCAUAAGCGCACAGGACCGCAUGGUCUAGUGUGAAAAACUCCGGUGGUGUGAGAUGGACCCGCGUUUGAUUAGCUAGUUGGUGGGGUAACGGCCUACCAAGGCGACGAUCAAUAGCCGACCUGAGAGGGUGACCGGCCACAUUGGGACUGAGACACGGCCCAAACUCCUACGGGAGGCAGCAGUGGGGAAUAUUGCACAAUGGGGGAAACCCUGAUGCAGCGACGCCGCGUGAGUGAAGAAGUAUUUCGGUAUGUAAAGCUCUAUCAGCAGGGAAGAAAAUGACGGUACCUGACUAAGAAGCCCCGGCUAACUACGUGCCAGCCGCCGCAGUAA
rnacentral:rRNA from 1 species